rnacentral:rRNA from 1 species
CAACGUAGGUAAUCUACCUUCGGGUGGGGAAUAACCCAGGGAAACUUGGGCUAACACCGCAUAAUGCAGCGGCACCACAUGGUGACAGUUGUUAAAGCGGGGGAUCUUAGGACCUCGCGCCUGAAGAGGAGCCUGCGGCGGAUUAGCUAGUUGGUGAGGUAACGGCUCACCAAGGUGACGAUCCGUAGCCGGCCUGAGAGGGCGGUCGGCCACACUGACACUGACAUACGGGUCAG